CCCCCCUAGAGGAGCCUGUUCUAUAAUCGAUAAUCCCCGCUACACCUCACCAUUUUUAGCCUUUCAGCCUGUAUACCUCCGUCGCAAGCUUACCAUGUGAACGUUACCAGUAAGCCCAAUGGCCCUCCCACCAACACGUCAGGUCAAGGUGCAGCUCAUGAAAUGGAAAGCAAUGGGCUACAAUUUCUAGCGUAGAACAAACGAAAAACUGUAUGAAACACAGUUAUGAAGGUGGAUUUAGUAGUAAAAAGAAAUCAGAGAG
rnacentral:rRNA from 1 species